rnacentral:sRNA from 1 species
CUUUCCAUAAUUCUGCAUAAACGCCCCCUUCCAUACCCAGAAGUUCAGUAUGCGCUCCGCUCUCCGCAACCUUCCCGUCCUUCAACACGAGAAUUUGGUCACUGUCAUAGAUAGUACGCAGUCGAUGAGCAAUGAAGACGCUCGUUCGUGCUUUUUCCUUGAGGAUACUGUUGAUGUUUUGAAGCAACGCUUGCUCCGUGUAUGUGUCUAGAGCGGAUGUAGCUUCGUCAAAAAAUAAAAGAGGGGGGUCCUUGAGGAUGAGUCGGGCAACCGCCAGCCGCUGCUUUUCUCCUCCUGAUAUCAUCAUUCCACGCUCUCCCACUGGUGUCUCGUACCCCUCAGGUAGUCGCUCGAUGAGCUCAUGGACGUGGGCCCGGCGUGCGGCGUUCCGAACCUCCUCGGCAGUCGCAUCUACCCUACCAUAACGGAGAUUGUGUUCGAUGGUGUUGUUGAAAAGCGGAGUGUCUUGUGGAACUACACCGAUAGCCCUUCUCAAACUAUCCAAGGACAGAUCGCGAAUGUCUUGGCCAUCAACUAGAAUCCGACCUCCUUGCACGUCAUAGAACCGGAAUAAGAGACGUAAUAUGGUUGAUUUUCCGCAGCCGCUGGGACCAACGAUUGCAAACUUCUGGCCUGGGGGUAUUGUGAAGCUGACGCCUUUUAAAACCGCUCGAUCGGGAUGGUAACCAAAUGUGACAUUCUCAAAUCUAAUUUCACCACCGCGAGUGAGCUGCAGUGGCUUAGCAUCUGGCUUUUCUUUGACUGUGAUGUUAACUUUCUGAAGGUUGAAUAGCGUUUCCAUGUCAAGCAAGGACUGUCUCAACUCCCGAUACACGGAUCCAAGGAAAUUUAAUGGCACUGAGAGCUGGAACACGAGUUGGUUGACCAUAACUAAAUCCCCUACAGUCAAUUGACCGCCAGCAACACCGGUUGCCGCUAGGUACAUCAUUCCAGCGAGUGCACCGGAAAAGAUAACAUUCUGGCCCG